CCUUCGGGUGUGAAUUAGCGGCGAACGGGUGAGGAACACGUGAGAAAUCUGCCUUCAACACUGGGAUAACUCCGGGAAACCGGGGCUAAUACCGGAUAUGAAAUCUGCGGGCAUCCGCGGAUUUGGAAAGUUUUUCGGUUGAAGAUGAUCUCGCGGCCUAUCAGCUUGUUGGUGAGGUAAUGGCUCACCAAGGCGACGACGGGUAGCCGGCCUGAGAGGGCGACCGGCCACACUGGGACUGAGACACGGCCCAGACUCCUACGGGAGGCAGCAGUGGGGAAUAUUGGGCAAUGGAGGAAACUCUGACCCAGCGACGCCGCGUGCGGGAUGAAGGCCUUCGGGUUGUAAACCGCUUUCAGCAGGGAAGAAGCGAAAGUGACGGUACCUGCAGAAGAAGCACCGGCUAACUAUGUGCCAGCAGCCGCGGUAAUACAUAGGGUGCAAGCGUUGUCCGGAAUUAUUGGGCGUAAAGAGCUCGUAGGUGGUUCGUCACGUCGGAUGUGAA
rnacentral:rRNA from 1 species